rnacentral:rRNA from 1 species
AUUGAACGCUGGCGGCAUGCUUUACACAUGCAAGUCGAACGGCAGCGCGGGCUUCGGCCUGGCGGCGAGUGGCGAACGGGUGAGUAAUGCAUCGGAACGUGCCCAGUAGUGGGGGAUAGCCCGGCGAAAGCCGGAUUAAUACCGCAUACGACCUGCGGGUGAAAGCGGGGGACCGAAAGGCCUCGCGCUAUUGGAGCGGCCGAUGUCGGAUUAGCUAGUUGGUGGGGUAAAGGCUUACCAAGGCGACGAUCCGUAGCUGGUCUGAGAGGACGACCAGCCACACUGGGACUGAGACACGGCCCAGACUCCUACGGGAGGCAGCAGUGGGGAAUUUUGGACAAUGGGGGCAACCCUGAUCCAGCCAGGCCGCGUGCGGGAAGAAGGCCUUCGGGUUGUAAACCGCUUUUGUUCGGGAAGAAAUCCUCUGGGCUAAUACCCCGGGGGGAUGACGGUACCGGAAGAAUAAGCACCGGCUAACUACGUG